UAUUUUUGCGCCGUAAUUGGUCUCCCGACGGUACCGUCGGGGGUUAAAAGGGAAACCGGUGAAAAUCCGGUGCUAUCCCCGUAGCUGUAAGUUCAUUAUCGUGAAAUCCCGACUAAAGUCGGGACAAGCCAUGAAACGGCAAACGUGAAAUACGUACCCGCCAUUUCAUCAGCCUGACAAAAGGCAAACUUCACGACUGUUGUUACUCCACACCACUGUUCCGCCAAUACCGGAAUGGGAAGGUCUGACAACAGAGAACGAGCCAGAAGACCUGCCAGUUGCAGUUUUUACAU
rnacentral:ncRNA from 1 species